GCCUACGGGGGGCAGCAGUGAGGAAUAUUGGUCAAUGGUCGGGAGACUGAACCAGCCAAGCCGCGUGAGGGAUGAAGGUACAGAGUAUCGUAAACCUCUUUUGUCAGGGAACAAAGGCGGGGACGUGUCCCCGGCUGAGUGUACCUGAAGAAAAAGCAUCGGCUAACUCCGUGCCAGCAGCCGCGGUAAUACGGAGGAUGCGAGCGUUACCCGGAUUUAUUGGGUUUAAAGGGUGCGCAGGCGGUAUGUUAAGUCAGCGGUCAAAGCCCGGGGCUCAACCCCGGCCCGCCGUUGAAACUGGCAGU
rnacentral:rRNA from 1 species